AAGAUUUUAGUUAAUAAAUAAUAUUAGUUUGUCAGACUAAAGUAAUCUAAAAAAUAAGUCUUU
rnacentral:tRNA from 1 species